GUGCGAUUGAGGGAGGGACUAAAAGUGUGCAUAAUAUUCCUUCCUCUCAGUGGGACUCGCUGCGAGCAGGUACAGCAUCUCUGCAGUCCACCGCUCAGCUGUCACACUCAGCUGCCCAGCGCUUCCACUUCACAGGAAACUUCUCACACCGCAGCAGUCGCAGGCCCUGCUUCUCCUGUCCACAGCGUCCGUGAUGAGUUACUACAUGGAUCCAGUUUCUUCCUACCCGGCCCUUCACCCCUGUGACCGUCUGGGCGCAAUGAGGCAGAGUGGAGGGGUGGCAUUGGGCCCUCAGACCCAGCUCCCAGGCGUGGUUCACCCUCAGCAGCAGUACUACCCAUCGCAGCCCCUUUACCCCCAGGAUAUACCCCUGCAGGAGGUACCCAACGGACACGACGUGUGCC